CCUACGGGUGGCAGCAGUGAGGAAUAUUGGUCAAUGGACGAGAGUCUGAACCAGCCAAGUAGCGUGAAGGAUGACUGCCCUAUGGGUUGUAAACUUCUUUUAUCAAGGAAUAAAACGAGGCACGUGUGCCUUUUUGCAUGUACUUUAUGAAUAAGGAUCGGCUAACUCCGUGCCAGCAGCCGCGGUAAUACGGAGGAUCCGAGCGUUAUCCGGAUUUAUUGGGUGUAAAGGGAGCGUAGAUGGGUUGUUAAGUCAGUUGUGAAAGUUUGCGGCUCAACCGUAAAAUUGCAAUUGAUACUGGCAGUCGUGAGUACAGUUGAGGUAGGCGGAAUUCGUGGUGUAGCGGUGAAAUGCUUAGAUAUCACGAAGAACCCCGAUUGCGAAGGCAGCUUACUAAACUGUGACUGACAUUGAUGCUCGAAAGUGUGGGUAUCAAACAGGAUUAGAUACCCGUGUAGUC
rnacentral:rRNA from 1 species